AUCACCAAACUGUUUUGAAAGAUAAAAGUACUUCCUGAAUAUGUGGAUGGUGAGCCACGUGAAUGGAAGACAUGGAGAUAUGGACUGUUAACACCUUGUCAAACAUUUAUUGUCCCUUCCACCUCUAAACUUCUGUGAUAAUAGGUGAACAGGACCCACGUGGUGCAGAAUACUGCGAUACACACUGCGGAAUAAUUCAGGGACUGGGAGUUGGAGAGGGGAGACUGGAGAGAGUAGGAAGAAGAAAGAGACAUUAUACAAAUGCAAGCUGUUGUCACAACAAUGAUAAGAAAUCAGGAGUCGAAAGAUGUGGAGUAAGGGGGAAUUUCAGAGAAACCACAAAACACAAAAUAGGAAACAGAGACAGGAGAAGAUUGCUAUGACAAAAUUGCAGAAGGUGAAAUCUUUGGCAGCCUCUUAUUUCUCUGGAGAAUAUGAUAUUGUCAGGCUGAGGUGGAAGAAUCACAUGGUCAUACUGUUGAAGAGGUCUUGAAACAUUGGGCUUUCCUCUACAAGCGGAAGGAUAGCACUGGCAGCCAUCCACUGGCCCAGCAAUAUCCUGGAUUGAGACGAUAUCAUUUGCAUUACUUGCUGAAUGAAACAUAGUGAAAAUGACUGCAGAUAACCUCAACUAAGUCCAAGAUAUCAUUUUCAAAUCUGGACCAGCCCUUGCCAUCUAGACUGAACAGAGAUUCCAGUUUCCAGGAGAGUAGAUGGAGUAAUGAUAAAAGCACCUCCCAAAACUUUUGCCUUGGUACUACAGAGUGGCACAUAACUAAACAUUAUCAAGGAAUUUUACAGCCCUAGGCCUUCUAUUACUGUGUAUUACAGUCUGCUGUAAUCAUUCUAAUGGUCUAAGAUGUUGCAAGUAAUUUACUCACGGCCUGAACACCAGAAGUGCCAAAAUUGCCUGGGAGUUUUAUUCUGCAUCCAACCAGUACCAGGAAGGAGGAUGUAUUACUUCUCGUUUCUCUACAAGUGUCAGUGCAAAUCCAGCCAUCAAACAAAACUUAGACCUAAAAGCUUUUAGAUUACAGCGAUUAUUGCAGAUUUUACAUGAGAUAAAAAUGUAAUUGCUCCA
rnacentral:lncRNA from 1 species